CCCUUAGAUGUUCUGGGCCGCACGCGCGCUACACUGAUGCAUUCAACGAGCACUCGCUUGGCCGAGAGGUCAGGCUAAUCUUUGAACGUGCAUCGUGCUGGGGAUAGAUGAUUGCAAUUAUUCAUCUUCAACGAGGAAUUCCUAGUAAACGCAAGUCAUCAGCUUGCAUUGAUUACGUCCCUGCCCUUUGUACACACCGCCCGUCGCACCUACCGAUUGAAUGGUCCGGUGAAAUCUCGGGACGGCGGCUUGGUCGCUUGCGUCCGACUGCUGAAACUUGAUUAAACCAUAUCAUUUAGAGGAAGGUGAAGUCGUAACA
rnacentral:rRNA from 1 species